AUGUACAGUCACAUGGUAAUGCCACUCCUAUCAACCAUAGACGCAGAUGCUAACGUUGGGGAACUUAAGGAUGAUGGAAGAGACCAAGAUACCCUGAUUGUAUGUGCGAUUUGGGGCGUGGAGUAUCAAAGGAAGAGAACUGGGGGAAUUCUUGACCUAGCUGGGCUCUUCUUUGGCCCCAGCUCCCGGUUCAUCCUUCACCUCCCUCCCAUCCCGGCUGCUCACAUUCCUACGUGAUAAGAAGGUGGAGGCUCACUUUACAGAUAAGAAGGUGGAGUGACUUUCUACUACUAAAGAACUAGCAGGGAAGUAUUUCAAAUUAAAGUCUCAUGACCCUAAAUGUAGGGUAUUUCCCAGUGGCUCAUGGUAAAUGAGUUCCUUAAAAACGAGCCACUGCUGUCUGAGGCC
rnacentral:lncRNA from 1 species